rnacentral:rRNA from 1 species
CGGCAUGGCUAAGACAUGCAAGUCGAACGGACCAUAUAAUUGGGUAACCGAAAGUAUGGUUAGUGGCGAAAGGGUGAGGAAUAGAUAGGAACGUACCCUGUGCUCUGGGAUAGCGUCUGAAGCUUCGGCUUCUUCCGAAAGGGGCGGUAAUACCAGAUAAUGUCCUUCGGGACCAAAGAUUUAUCGGCAUUGGAGCGGCCUAUCUCCUAUCAGCUUGUUGGUGAGGUAACGGCUCACCAAGGCAACGACGGGUAGCGGGACUGAGAGGUUGGCCCGCCACAUCGGGACUGAGACACUGCCCGGACCUCCACGGAGGGCUGCAGUAACGGAUAUUGGGCAAUGGGCGAAAGCCUGACCCAGCAAUGCCGCGUGCAGGAUGAAGCCCCUAGGGGUGUAAACUGCUGUCAGGGGUCAGAAAGCUGGUUUCGGCCAGUUGAUCAACCCCAGAGGAAGUCACGGCUAACUUCGUGCCAGCAGCCGCGGUAAUACGAAGGUGGCAAGCGUUAUUCGGAAUCAUUGGGCUUAAAGGGCACGCAGGCGGAACAGUGUGUGUUGUGUGAAAUCCCCCGGCUUAACCGGGGAAUUGCACAGCAAACUGCUGUUCUUGAGGCAGGUAGGGGUGCAUGGAACUCUUGGUGGAGCGGUGGAAUGCGUAGAUAUCAAGAGGAACGCCAGAGGUGAAGACGGUGCACUGGGCCUGUCCUGACGCUGAGGUGCGAAAGCGUGGGGAGCGAACGGGAUUAGAUACCCCGGUAGUCCACGCCGUAAACGAUGUCUACUAGGUCGUGGGUGUUCUGACACAUUCACGGCCGGAGCAAAAGUGUUUAGUAGACCGGCCUGGGGAGUACCGGCCGCAAGGUUAAAACUCAAAUGAAUUGACGGGGGCUCACACAAGCGGUGGAGCAUGUGGAUUAAUUCGAAGCAACGCGCAAGAACCUUACCUGGGUUUUGACAUGCAUUGUAUGCCUUCUCUGAAAGGAGUUAGGCUGCCUUCGGGUGAAACUUGCACAGGUGCUGCAUGGCAUGUUCAGUCCAAGCUUCGUGUUCAGUGAGAUGUCGGGUUAAGUCCUUUAAACGAGCGAAACCCUUGCCGUUAGUUGCCAGCGAGUAAUGUCGGGGACUCUAACGGGACUGCCGGUGUUAAACCGGAGGAAGUGGGGAUGACGUCAAGUCCUCAUGGCCUUUAUGCCCAGGGCUUCACACGUGCUACAAUGGCAAUUACA